UACGUAGGUGGCAAGCGUUGUCCGGAAUUAUUGGGCGUAAAGCGCGCGCAGGCGGUCCUUUAAGUCUGAUGUGAAAGCCCACGGCUCAACCGUGGAGGGUCAUUGGAAACUGGGGGACUUGAGUGCAGAAGAGGAAAGCGGAAUUCCACGUGUAGCGGUGAAAUGCGUAGAGAUGUGGAGGAACACCAGUGGCGAAGGCGGCUGUCUGGUCUGUAACUGACGCUGAGGCGCGAAAGCGUGGGGAGCAAACAGG
rnacentral:rRNA from 1 species